rnacentral:lncRNA from 10 species
AGUGACUGCUCAGUCCACGCCCCGCGCAGGAGCUGUUCCUGGAUUAACCAACUGCCUGGUUCUCCUGGGGUCCGCUUCCGGGAGGCUAGUCAGUGAGCCCCACCCCCCCGGGGGCUGCGGGAAGCCCCAGGGCUUGAGUGUUAAUUCUGUAACUGUCCGAACCCGUGAGUGCGGAGCCAGACAGGCCACCACUCCUGGCUGCGAAGCCUGGCUGUCAGCGUCCUGCUUGUUAAUGAUUGUCUAAUACAAUGCCUGCCUUGCCUAUCUCACGGGGUAAUUGUGAGGGCAACAUAAGGUCCUGUCAUUAGGAAAGACUCAGUUAUCCAGCAGCAGUUCCGUCUGCCUUCUUCCUGCGUGUCCCACAUUUUAAUUGGUGUUCUCGUAUGAUUUGGGUUUCCCUUAUUCCAUACUAAUCAGACGACUUCGCUUUGAUUUACUUGUUUUGGUGAUCAGUCAUCAAGUCCAGACUUCUUGUUCCCUCAGUUUGUUUUCAGGUCUUUACUUAAGGUUUGUGCACCAAUAGUUUUCCUGCAAACUGUAAAGUGAGGAUGACAAUACUACCUAUUUAAUAUAGUUUGGGUGUAAAUGAGAUUGUUGAUUAAAUGUAGUCAGAUAUUUGUGUGGCACCUACUAGAUGCUGGAGAAGUGAGCAAAAGUCUUCACUGUCACAGAGCUUAUAUCCUAGUGGGGGAAAGAAACCAAUUAGUAUAUAGUGCAAUGGCAGCUUGUUAUAUGUCCCAUAGACUAAACAGUACAGCAGGGUAAGGAGAUGAAGAGGGAGGAAUAUGGUAGGGUGCUGUUUUAUAUAGGGUGGUUAGGAGGGGCUCUAAGAGGAUGAC